rnacentral:rRNA from 1 species
UACAGAGGUGGCAAGCGUUGUUCGGAAUUACUGGGCGUAAAGGGUGCGUAGGCGGUCCGAUAAGUCCCGUGUGAAAGCCCCCGGCUCAACUGGGGAACUGCACGGGAAACUGACGGACUUGAGUUCGGGAGAGGGAAGCGGAAUUCCGGGUGUAGCGGUGAAAUUCGUAGAUAUCGAGAGGAACACCGGUGGCGAAGGCGGCGAUCUGGACGAUGACUGACGCUGAGACGCGAAAGCGUGGGGAGCAAACAGG